rfam:Dipodomys ordii contig_41729, whole genome shotgun sequence.
GGGAAAGUGGCUCAGUGGUAAAGUGCUUGCCUUGCAUGCAUGAGGCCCUGGGUUCAAUUCCUCAGCACCA